rnacentral:lncRNA from 1 species
CGCCUACGAGCCUCCCCCGAGCCCGCUGCCCUCCCCUACAGAUUCGCCGUGAGCUCCUCCUCCAAAUCCCCCUCAUACCUGUCUCGAUCCGUCACUGUAGUCUCCUGUACGAACCAGCGGCCGCCAUGGCAGAAGCUCAGCAUACGCGUACGCGCCCCUGCUUGGUUCUGCGCUCGUGCUGCUCCUGUGUGCUCCUUCUGCGGGCCGCGCCCCGCGCCCGCCCGCGGCCGCUGCUGCUCCUACUGUUGUGCGUAUGCUGCCCUGCGCCUCGCCCACGCGUGUGCCCGCCGUGGCCUAGCAGCGCCCGGCCGCGCUGCUGCCGGAUACUGCUUCUGCUGUAUCGCUGCCUCUGCUGCCCGUAACUGCUGAUGCUGCUUGCUGCCCGCUAGUCGCUGAUGCUCUGCCGCGUUGAGCUGCUGCCGCUGCUGCUCAACCACGUUGAGCUCACGCGAGGCCAUGGCAAACACAACCCGAUGGCUGGCUAUGUCCCUGCUAUGUAUGGAUGGCCCUUUGUAAUUAGUGUACUACUCCCUCCGUUCCGAUUUACUCGUCGUGGUUUUAGUUUAGUUUUGAACUAAAACCACGACGAGUAAAUCGGAACGGAGGGAGUAGAUCAUAAAGGCGCGCGUUGCCGCGCCCAUCCAUUUGAAUAGAAAAUCCAGAAUUGUAAAAAUACCUGUUGGAAUUUGCACAGUACAAAUAUCUAGGAAAUAUGAGUGCUUAAAAUUGCAACACCUAAAAUCCUACAUGUCAUCAAUAAUCUCUACAUUAACCAAGGAGCAAUUACAUAAAAUAAUUCAGAGGUAAAGAAACAAUCAAAUGUAGAAUAUAGAGCUUGCUAACAUAAGUAGUAAAAAUGGUUUCAAGGAGCGUAGUUUAACAAAAGAAAUGGGCACACGUAAUCUGUUUCUAAAUUUGCAUAUAACCAAUAAAGCUAAUGCAUGAAUAUCAUGUAAGGAACUGUGCGUAGUACCUGAACUUCCCAAUCUUGCAAAUUAAACUUCCUAGCUAUGCCAUUGCGUCAAGUAAAUAGCUAAGAUUUCAGCCUUCACGAUUGAUGUCCAAAGUGAAAGAAUCUGGUACAAAAUGAGAAAAUCAACAUUAAAACCGGAGAUUGCAGAUCAGAUAAGGGCCGUCAAGAGGAUACAGGAAUAGCAGGAUCGUCUAAUCUCUGCAAUGACGAUGGUAUGGACUUUGUAAGACGAAUGGCGUUUAGGGAGCAACGUGGGACGCCGACAACUUUCACAGCAAUACCUUCGAAAUAGGUGAAGUCGCUGGGAAAGGUACUCAGGUCACUUGUUACACAGGGGGGCAGGAGCAUAGCGCAACCUUCCAGUGCGUCGAUGGUAAGCCUGAACGCCGUGGGCCGCUGCGUCGGGUUUGGACCAACUCUACAUGAUUGUGCAUCGCCUCCGCCUGUUACUCCUUUCCACCUUGGUUACUCCUUUCCACCUUGCCAGAGAAAGAAGCAACGUCGAUGCCGUGGCCGUUGCCACCGGCAUAUAAGAUGGGAAUCUCACUGGAUAACGCAUCAUGAUUGCCUAGGGCACCAUCACCACAGUAGGGAGAAAGCGGAGCAGGAAAGAGAAGGUUAGCGGCGUACCACUAAAAGCCAACUCGCCGCUGGUGCGCUGUCGUCCUCUUUUGCCACGGUCCUCUAUUGAAUCUCCUCCUUCCGCACCGCCGCCGUAUCAGAGUCAUCGCCCAUCACAGACCUUUUCCUUUUUUUUUUGAGAGCAGCCCAGCACUGACUAACGGACCCGGAUCGAUCCCGGCUAACCACAGGCCACCAUAGUGGAUCUGCGGAGUAGCGGCCCGGCUACCGUGGGCCGAGCGGAUCGCGAGACUGCCGCGUUGACAAAUUGCUACAAGUGAUCGCAAGCAUGACCAGGAGAUCUAAAUCAUGAUCCUCAAAAAAAAAAGGAGAUCUAAAUCAUUCGUUAGUGUGAUACGACGGCUAUGGACAUCAAACCGCUGUGAGAGGGCGUAGCUAGCGGACGAGGCUCCUCUGACGUACUGCAGGGUGCAGUUGGGCCACUGACAGGUGGGCCCGAAAACAAGUUGGCCCACCUGUCAGCGACCCAACUGCACCCUGCAGUACGUCAGGGAAGCCGAGUCCGUAGCUAGCCCCGAUUUACUGUUUCUCAAUGUGUGUGUUCUGUGUGUGUGAGGCCGGCCCCUAUUCAAUUAGUUUAGGGUUAAUUAUUACUAGUUAGAUUAGCUACUACCCUAUGGCAGGUGGACCCCCUCCUCUAAAUUUCCACUUAAAAAAAUGCUAAAAUAUGUGUGAAUGACACCUGGGUCCCACUGGUCCCAUUGACCAGUCAAACUGCUGAAUGGGAUAACCCAGUCAAUGACAUCCGGGUCCCCUGGGCCCCCACCUGCCAGCCACUAAAUCCACUGCCGUGUACGCUUCUCUAUGUACACUUAGCAAUUACAUAUUAAUUUGUUUUCGAAUUAAAAUAAUUCCAGAAAAUUAGAAAAUCAUUUAAAAAUUUAAAAAUUCAUAGAAAAUAAUCCGUAACUCGAAUGAAAAAGUUUUCUACAUGAAAGUUGCUCAGAACGACGAGAUGAAUCUAAAUACGCGAUCUGUUCGUCCGCCACACGUCUCUAGCAUAGCGAACAUGCAACAUUUUCCCUCCGGUUCGUCUGUCCGAAAAUACCUAACUCGGGGAAAACUUUCUUGGAUGUUAUCCCUCUUCCCCGGUAUUGAAAAGCACUGCGUUAGAACACCUCUAGCACCAUUUUUUCUGUCUUGUCAUGCUUAGUAUUGUGCUUGUUUGACGUGUAUUUACUGUUUCUUCCCCUCUUCUCUCCGGUAGACCUCGAGACUGACGUUGCCGCCGAGGACGACUACGCUCUGACGAUCAGUACUUUUCAGCAGAGCUUCCAGGCAAGCCCCCCCUUUGAUCAUCCCGAUAUCGCCCAUUCCAUUCUCUCAUGCUUGCAUUAGAUUUUGCUACUGUAAUUGAUUGCUCCUAUUCUGAUGCAUAGCAUGCUUUAGUACCUGUUGUUGUACCUUACCUGCUUAUCCUAAAUUGCUUAGUAUAGGUUGGCAAGUGAUCCAUCAGUGAUCCCCACCUUGAUUGCUCCUAUUCUGAUGCAUAACAUGCUUUAGUACCUGUUGUUGUACCUUACCUGCUUAUCCUAAACUGCUUAGUAUAGGUUGGCAAGUGAUCCAUCAGUGAUCCCCACCUUGUCUUUGUUGCCCUUGCUUCGUCAUCAACGACUCGAUCGACGUGAUCGACGACCAGAGCCUGGCACCUCACAUCACAUCACGCCCUUUUGUUGCUCGACUCUGCAGAGUUACCAUCGAGUGCCGAGCGUGACACCUCAUACAUCACUCUUGAUGAGAUCUCUGUAGUGUAGCUAUUCGGUCGUGGUCAAUGAGGGUGGUUCCUCCUUCACCAUUCCCGAUACGGAUCUGUCGUGCAACCCCUCAAGUGUGAACCUCGAGGGUGGUUCCUCUUACGUUCACCUUGAUCAUUACAUUGAGUGGAAUCCACAAUGGGUUAUUCCUCGGGUUUUUCCCUUGAUAUUUGAACACACGGUUACCUUGACUUUACUUGAGACCUUGGUGGAAGUCGGGCGGGCUCGGAGAGCACCCGCAAGAUGGUUACGAAGCACGGCCAGGCAGGCAGGCCGCCCCCGAGUGGGCUGGGCUAGCCCUUGCCAUAUUUCCUCGAGACGGGGCGACGGGGUCACCUUAUCAUGAGUCUCUGCUCAUCUCCGCAAGCUAAUAAUACACUAUGGUUUGGAUAUUUGUUCUGAGUUGGCAUUUGGCCUUUACGCACUAACCACCACGCGAGAAUAGUUAUGGGUCUCGACGUCGUAGUAUCAGCCGAAGCUUUGUUAGACGUCCAGUUCAGCAUCGUGGGCCUGCCAGGCCAGUGCCAUCUAGUAUGAGGUGGUGCUCGUCUCGGCUCGUCGCACAACGACCCGGAGUACUGCGGGCGAAUGGCCCAAGACCCCAGAGUGCUUAGGAUGUAGACCGGCAGGGACCUCUCUGCUGAGCCUAGGUAGGGCUGCGAUGUGUUGAUCUUUCGAGGCCGGGCAUUGACCCCAGAAAGGUGUGUCUGGCCAGAGUGAUCGAGUGUAUUGGGUAACGUGGUGCAUCCCUGCAGGGAAGAUUAUCUAUUGAUAGCCGUGUCCACAGUAACGGACGUUCAGACUUAUAUCUUGAUCUUAUACAACUACAAAUGGAUACUUGAGGUAUGUGGCUCCGAGAUUGCUUUCCCGCAGGGAGUCAGGGAAGGAUCUCUGGGCAUUAAUGUUACAACAUGUUUGUUAAUUAAACUGCUAUUCUUUACUCUCCUACAUGCUGCAAGAUGCUCGGAGCUGCUUGAAGACGCUAGUCUUCGUUAGGCUAGGCCUUCCCCUCUAUUCUGGCAUUCUGCAGUUCAGUCCACAGAUACAAACCUUCCAUUUUGAUACCAAUGCAUACUUAGUAUAGAUCUGAUAUCGAUGUUUGCGAGUAUUUUGGAUGAGUACUCACCGUUGCUUUGCUACCCCUUUUCCCCCAACUUUCUUCUUUCCGGUUGAUGCAACCAGAUGGUGGAUCCUUGGAGCCAGAUGCCCCGCCGAUGGAUGCUACUACGUGGAGACCGCCGACGACCAGGAGUAGUUAGGAGGUCCCAGACAGGAGGCCUUGCCUCUUCGAUCGUGUUGCUUUUGUGUUGGCCUUCUUAAGGCAUCCUUGUUUAACUUAUGUCUGUACUCAGAUAUUGUUGCUUCCGCUGACUCUUGUGUAUCGAGCUAUGUAUUCGUGCCCUCGAGGGCCUUGGCUUGUAAUAUAAAGCUUGUAUUAUUUUGAUUUGUAUCUAGAGUUGUGUUGUGAUAUCUUCCCGUGAGUCCCUGAUCUUGAUCGUACACAUUUGCGUGUAUGAUUAGUG